GAGACAGAUGGUAACAUGAAGGGGGGAAAGCCAGCACAACUGAGAGAGUGCUUAGGAUUAUAAAUGAGUGUUGUUGGGGGAAGGCUCCUUCGACUCUGUUCCCCUCUAUGUGGGGGUGUGGUUGAAGAAGACACACAGAGACCUGAUUCACCAGAUCAGUUAAAGGCUGGUUUGGAGCUCCAGCAUGGGGCUUUCUGUCUGCGGCCACUCCUAUCCCCAGGCAAUCUCUACAACAUAAAUGAUCCAACUGUGUCUGCAUCCCAGAAACCAAAACUACAAGUCAGCGUGAAGACGGACCGCCUGGAUUCCAAUACUGGCUCUAGGUCUAUUAUCUGUGGGGACUUAGAAGAGAGACUUCAUUUUCUCAAGGCUUUUGCUUCAGCUGGAGAAUGGGAAUAAAUGAGAAAAUACAAGGAAGAAUACAAAUCCCGGCCUCAGUAAUGUUCGCCACCACCAUUGGCUCACAAAGGGGUAUGAAUCAAAUUAAGCUUGUUUUGCCGUGGGUGAAGGAAGAGGAAUAUAAUAGCGUGAAUCAGAGCAAUUAUCAAAUAUGCGGCACUCACUAAAAAUUAAUUACAAUCAUUGCCUUCUCUCACAAGUCUGCCAGAAGAUGCCAGAAAGCUUUUGUUAAUCAAUAUAAUCCUUUACACAAAUUCUUGGAGCUUGAACUUGAUUAUCACCCUCUUUCCCUUUCAAAAUUUCCUUUUACACAUCAAUUUCAGAAACAGGAAUUCUUUCGGAGCUUCUGUGAGAUAAUCUUUGGCCCUUGGAGAUAAGUGUGAAAACAACGUGAAUAAUACUGGGUAGGGACGAGGUUACAUAUUAUCUAGCCAUGAGCACGGCAAGCAAAAUGCUACAUUUAUGAAAACAAUUGCUCAGAAAAUGAGUUUAACCUCUCAAGAGCAUUCCAAAUGGGAAUGCCACAUGCAAAGAGCAAACCUGAGGAAAGUGAGCAUUCUUUUUACAAUUGUUUUCCGUGAGAAGAAAGUUGCCACACAGAACUUUUGCACUGCCUUAGGCUGAAAUGAGACAGUCUUCAUCAAUCUUUAGGAAUUCACUGGGAGUAAGUGAAGAAAAAUAGAUCAAGACAGAGAAAACUGAGGGGCAGGUACUUAACACUGGUGAAAAUGCUGAUUAGGACACCUGCAUUCAAUUCCUGGCUCUGGCUCCUGACUCCACCUUCCGGCUAAUGCAGAUCCUGGGAGGCAGAUGAUGGCUCCAAUAGUGAGAUUUUUGCCACCCACAUGGAAGACCUGGAUUGAGUUCCCAGUUCCCGAAUGCAGUAGCACUGCAGGCAGUUAGAGAGUAAAUCAGUGGAUGGGAGUUUCUCUCUCUCUCUCUCUCUCUCUCUCUCUCUCUCUCUCUUUCUCUCCCUCUCAAAUAACUAUUAAACUGAUGAAAAAGAUAGUCAUUGCAGAAAAAAAAAAACAGUGGAAGCAAUAGCUUGUAACAAUUCUCAGAGUUCAAAUUUUCUCAAAACAAGAGUCCUUGGGCAGUCCCUAUGAGAUGUCUCUUCUCCCAAACAUGCUGAGUGUUUCAGGCUAGGGGUGGGAAUGCGUGGUUGCCAUUCUGAUGUUCCACGAUGGGGAGAAUCAGAAUUUUCAAAGGCAUCAUUGACGCUAAAUGAGAAUGAAUUUAAGAAUGCUCACUAACUAUGCUGACACGACCCGCUUAUCAACUAGCAAUAACAAAAAUAAAUAAAUAAAUAAAUAACCAGCAGCAAAGACAACUUGGAAGCCAAGCACAUGGUCAAGUGCAGCGGCAGAGGUGGAUGUCAAGUUGGUUGCAGCAGUCUUGGCUGGGAGGUGAUGAUGUAAAGGAGUCACCAGAGGCAGAAAACCAAAGGAAGCUUCCUAAAAUGAAGAGGCUGGUUGGACAACGUGACAAACCAACGCUCCUACCCCAACAGGUCAUGGGAAGAGAACAAGACAAUCUAUUAAAAACGGCAGCUGCACUAUAGUGAUGGGUAGUGGAUACUCGAGCCCUCUCAGUACUAUUUUUGUUAACUUCUUAGGUGCCUAUACUUAUCAAGAGAAAAAACUGAAAAACAAAACCCGCAGCUGUCUGAAAAAGUUAUCCUCAAACUAAGAGCAACAAUCAAAAGUCAAAUCUUACUACUGGAUAAUUAGUCCCAGUGAUUCCAGUUCUAAGACAUUCAGUAGGGAAAUGAAGAAAAUGUAUUUAACAAACGCCUGGCCAAGCCUCUUGUGUCCUUGUUUCAUUCACAUGGACAGACAACAUUUGUUACCUUAGAAACCAAACUGUAAAUGAAUAACGAUAAAUGGCAAAAUUCAGAUUUAUAAAUCAGACUUAACAAUUCUAAGCUCUCAAAAACAGACCCAUCCUUUUUCGUCUGAGCAGAAACACUGUUGAUUGGAAGAGAUUCUGUUAUUUUAUGUACCAUUAAGAAAGAACCAAAGUUUGCCAAUUAACUAGGACACAAUGGAUGAAAGACAGUCUUUGGUAACAAACUGGUUUCUCAGAGCUUUGUUCUAAGGGGAUUCAGUAAUUUCUUCUGCCUCCAGCUGCCUUGCUUGUCCUAUGAUCAGCAGUCCGUUUCUGCAUCGAAUUCAAUACCAAAACUAACAGGGUUUCUACUACUAUCUUCCUAGCUGUUGGUGUGAAAGAAAAGGUGGACUUUCAGUACUUUCUCCAGCAAUGAACAUUUGCUUUACUAGUAUUAAAUUUUACUUCCUGCUCUUCUCAUCCAUUCUGUGUACACAAUAACAUUUUGUU